AUGCAUCUGGAUUCCACUGUAUGUGUUCUAUGCAACAAUGAAGACAUUGAGGAUAGGACUCAUCUUCUUUUCACAUGUCCAUUUAGUCAAGGAUUUUGGUGGAACAUUGGUUUUGAAUGGAAUUCGGAUAUGGAAAUCAACAAUAUGAUUAUUGAUGCUAAACAUAGAUAUAAAAUUGACCACUUCAUGGAAGCCAUGAUUCUUGGCUGCUGGAGCAUAGGGAACCAAAGGAAUGGGAUGAUUUUUUAAGGGAUCCCCUGCUCAUAAAAUGAAUGCAAGAACGAAUUUGUCAGAUAUUUCAAAAUGACCAUGCUAAGGGCUAAACCCACUCUAAAAGAGGGCAUGUCCUCUUGGAUAGACAAUAUUUAA
rnacentral:rRNA from 1 species